AAAAAAUGUAAAAAACGUCGUACAAAAAUAAGUUUCAACACACGUGUCAAAAACGUAAUAGACUCGUCCACUGGAAAAACGAGAAUAUCGGGUUAAUCCGGUGUCAUGCAUUCCCGUUUUUUAUCCAAAUUGAGGAUAUAUUUUUUUAUUAUCUAUGAAACAAGAAAAUUCGAAAUGAUUUAUUGAUAUUCAGAACUUUAACUUUGUGCCUUCCACCUUUCCACAUUUGGACAAGUCUAUUUCUAUGAUAUUAUGCAUCUUACGGACUGAUGACAAAUAAGGGAAACGAACUUACUGUGUAACUGGUUAUAAACACAGAUUUCGUUCCGCAAAAUUACUUGUGCAAACGACAUUUCAAGGUCAAUUAUAAUUGAUUUGUCUAUUUUUAGAAACGUAAACUGGAAGUUUUAUUUUUUC
rnacentral:lncRNA from 1 species